GUAAUAAAAUCAGGCGGAAUACGCGCUCGCUCGGCCUUUCACGCCGGCGACAGGGGUUCGAAUCCCCUUGGGGACGCCA
rnacentral:tRNA from 1 species